rnacentral:rRNA from 1 species
UACGAAGGGGGCUAGCGUUGCUCGGAAUCACUGGGCGUAAAGGGUGCGUAGGCGGGUCUUUAAGUCAGGGGUGAAAUCCUGGAGCUCAACUCCAGAACUGCCUUUGAUACUGAGGAUCUUGAGUUCGGGAGAGGUGAGUGGAACUGCGAGUGUAGAGGUGAAAUUCGUAGAUAUUAGCUAGAACACCAGUGGCGAAGGCGGCCAACUGGUCCGAUACUGACGCUGAGGUGCGAAAGCGUGGGGAGCAAACAGG